UUGGAGGGCUAUCCAGGAAACUGGACUGAGCCAACUGGCACAGAGAAGAACUCACACAGCAUCUAAGUAAAUAAUGGGUGAAUAUAAAUCACCUGGCUGAGUGGAGACCAGCAAAGCACUCCCAGCCCAAAACAGACCAUGCAAUUCUUCCUGGCCCUUGUCGCCUUGGGAGGAAUAGCCUGCAGUUUCCAUGUGUAAAACUAAGAAUAAGUAAUCAAUGGACUAAAACAUAUGGACACGCAAACGGAAAGCUUGAUGAAUUCGUCCUCCGGAAAAAUGAAAACAUUAAAAAAAUAACAACCUUUAGUAAGCUGUGCAUCCGUGGUAUAGAGAUAGAAACCGAUGCUGGAAGAACUUUUAAAGCUGGGAAUCCCAAUGGGCAGAGGUCCACUAUCUUUCCCCCUGAGAAGGGGAUGGUAUUCAAUGGCAUCACUGGUUAUUUUGACCUUAUAUGUAUCAAAAGAAUGAUAUUUCACUGGACACACAUUCUUCAAACAAUCCCCACACCUGAAGUAACUACAGAAGAGAAGGGUCCUGAAAACACCUCAACUGCACGUGCUAAAACCACUCAAGCUGAACCUGCUAAAACCACUCCAGUUGCACCUGCUAACACCACCCCAGCUGCAACUGCUAAAACCACUCCAGCUGCAUCUGAUGAAAACACCCCAACUGCAACUGCUGAAAAUACCCCAGCUUCACCUACUGGAAACCUCCUAGCUGCACCUUGUAGCAAUGGGAACAAGAAUUCACCAAAGUUCUAGUGAGCCCCUAUUGAAGACACCUCAAUUUAACAACUGCACUGCUUAGCAUCUUACAACUAUUGGCCACUAUACUAAGUCAUCUAUCCCUUCUAGGAAAAGAUUUAAAGCUGUAGUUAUUCUGAGUUGCUUUUUUUAAAGACUAUAUAUACCAUAACCUGGACUAUACUUCCAGAGACCUGGAACCAAUGGCUGGCCUAAGGAUCCUGGAAUCUAGAAGGAGAGAGUAACCAUGACCCAGGUGAUGUGACUCCCCAAGAAAAUGCUGGUCUAAAAAAGUAAAGGGAAGGAAAAAAAUUAAGACUGUGAGAAAAUCCAGAGGGGAUUUAAGAGUCUAAUCAAUUAAUAAAGCUUCUGCAAAAGCUA
rnacentral:lncRNA from 1 species